CCUCUCUUUUUUAAUGUAAUGCAAAUCCACAAUUAGAAAGAUCCAAAGCUCCCAAACUCUAUAAUCGCUCCAUUGUCAUCAGCUCCUUGGGAGGCCUGCGAUCUAUGGUAUCCUCGCAGAAGAGAUUCCAGAUGAAAGCAAAGUAGCAUAUCUCUUUUUCGUGCUGCUGCAGUUGUUCCUGGAUUUUGGUAGAGAUGGAGUCUCCACUACGAAAGAAUCCUCUCUAAUGUCCACCACAUUCUUUGAAGCUGACUGAGUUCGGAACUCCCGAUUGACUUUGAGAGUAAUAUAGAAGUAGAUCAAUAAUAUACGUGGAUAA